AAGCAAUAUAUAGCUGCCUUUGAUGGAUUUAAAGUUCUUGGAUUGCCAUACAAACAAGGAUCUGACCCACGUCGUUUUUCAAUGUACAUCUUUCUUCCAGAUUCGAAGGAUGGAUUGCCAUCUUUGAUUCAAAAAUUAGAUUCCCAAUCCGGGUUCAUUGACUGCCACAUUCCAUAUGAAAAACUUAAAGUGGGCGAAUUCAAGAUUCCAAAGUUCAAAAUUUCUUUUGGGAUUGAAGUUUCCAAUGUUCUGAAGGGGUUAGGAUUGGUGUUACCUUUCUCUGAAGGAGGUUUGUUAGAAAUGGUGGAGACCCAAAUGGCUCAAGGCCUUCAUGUUUCAAAAAUAUUCCAUA
rnacentral:misc_RNA from 1 species